rnacentral:rRNA from 1 species
UACAGAGGUCUCAAGCGUUGUUCGGAUUCAUUGGGCGUAAAGGGCGCGUAGGCGGCCUGCUAAGUCGGAUGUGAAAUCCCUCGGCUCAACCGAGGAACUGCAUCCGAUACUGGCGGGCUGGAAUCCGGGAGAGGGAUGUGGAAUUCCAGGUGUAGCGGUGAAAUGCGUAGAUAUCUGGAGGAACACCGGUGGCGAAGGCGGCAUCCUGGACCGGUAUUGACGCUGAGGCGCGAAAGCUAGGGGAGCAAACGGG